UGUCAGAAAAACUUCAGGAUCAGCCCCGAAGGCUCAAUAAAACCAAAGCUCUGUUAACGACGUUUAAUAGGCUCUAUCUAGCAACGUCUGUGAUAGAGGAGGCAGCAAUCAGCAGUGAGGCCAGUUUAAUAAAGGAUGUUUCUAAGCCACAAAUGUGUUUUCCCAGCUUGUUAAUGACACUUGGUUGCAAAGGACGGCAGCAUUCCUCUCCUGCACCUGGCACUCCGUUUCCCUGCUGAGCUGUGCAGUGUAUGGGAUCCGUGCUCUGUGGGUGCUCCCCAGGACUCCAGCGCUGGGACAGGGCACAGGGGUGGGAAGGGGUUCCUAGGGGAUCCCCAACCCCUGCACUGUGGGACAGUGGUGCUGCCGGGGAGCUUUCAGAGCUGAGAUUUCAGUUCUCUGCUCGGCCGCAUUCCCCAAAGACCACAGCAGGGAUUUACCGAUGAGGGCGUCAGUUCUUCCUCCCGCACCCGUACAAUCGCUGUCCGUGUAUCUCGGCUCCCUUCCAAGCCCUAAGGGAACAGCCAGGUUCAAGUCACCUUGCCCCAAAUUCCCCUUAAUCCCUCUACUCUGGGGCGGAAGAAAGAGACACCUCCUCCACACCCCUCCUCCCCUUCCCGGAGUCGGAUUUGAAUACCCAGGUGUGAGCAUCAGCCACCCUCGAGUUAACGAGUUUGAUAAUUUACCCGGCUCAUUCCUGCCGGAGGGAUCCGAACGCAGCGCGGCUCUUCCCGGCCCCGCACCGCCACCCGCAGCCCUACCGCCCCGCAUCGUAACCCCGCACCAUGCCGGCCCUGCGGCUCCUCGCCCUCGGGCUCCUCCUGGCUCUGGAGCCCGCGAGCUGCCAGGAAGGGAUAACGUUGAGACAGUGGUAAGCAUUGGGGCCAAGGAAGAGGCUGUUGUGCCCAACGGACGUGAAGGGACAUACGUGACCUCUGCAGUGGACUUCAGGUCCAAGGAGAACAAGCACGCCUAUGAAAACACUUUGGAUCCAGAGGAGAAGGUGAUCACCACUGCCAUGUAGCACCAGCUGGUGGUGGGACCCUCUGCACUGACAUCCCCAUGCAUGGCAGAUCCUCUGUCCCAGGCCUUCAGACUUUUGUCCUUUUUUUAGACCCUAAGAAAGGUCUGGGGCUGUCACCUCCCCAGCCCUGUGGCCAUCCCCUCACCUUCUUAGCCCAGCUGAUGUCCCCCAGCCCCUGGACCAGGGGAUGCUGACCCAUUCCAGAUGCUGCUGCAUGCAUGGGACCCCAUGUUCCCUCCCCAAAUCCCUUCCCCUCUGGGAAACUGUCAAUGGAAAACCCACUCUCGUGUCAACAUCUCAUCCUCCUUUUUAUGAACAAAGGCUCCAUGCCAUGCAUUUCAAACUCAGAACAAAUCGCCUCCCCUGUACAUAUAUUCUCUGCCAGCAAUAAAGGGAAUUGCUGUCCAUCCA
rnacentral:lncRNA from 1 species